rnacentral:rRNA from 1 species
UACGAGUGCCCCGAGCGUUAUCCGGAAUCAUUGGGCGUAAAGGGCGUGUAGGCGGUCCGCUAAGUCUGAUGUGAAAGCCCGGGGCUCACCCCCGGAAGUGCAUUGGAAACUGGCGGACUCGAGUCCCGGAGAGGAGAGUGGAAUUCCUGGUGUAGCGGUGAAAUGCGUAGAUAUCAGGAGGAACACCGGUGGCGAAGGCGGCUCUCUGGACGGUGACUGACGCUGAGACGCGAAAGCGUGGGGAGCGAACGGG